UACGAAGGGGCUAGCGUUGCUCGGAAUCACUGGGCGUAAAGGGUGCGUAGGCGGGUCUUUAAGUCAGGGGUGAAAUCCUGGAGCUCAACUCCAGAACUGCCUUUGAUACUGAAGAUCUUGAGUUCGGGAGAGGUGAGUGGAACUGCGAGUGUAGAGGUGAAAUUCGUAGAUAUUCGCAAGAACACCAGUGGCGAAGGCGCUCACUGGCCCGAUACUGACGCUGAGGAGACGAAAGCCAGGG
rnacentral:rRNA from 1 species